CUCACCCACGCGGCCAUCUCCCCACUUAUCUCCUUCUCCAACCUCCUAAUCCAUCUAAUGGGAUCCCUCCCUGGCCAGUGAUGUGCAUCGCCUCCACACAGGGGCGGCAAUCGAUUCGUUUGGUGGCGGACUUGAGGGAGACUCGAUGGGCGGCGAGCGAUUUGAUGCGGCGGAGGUUGGGGGACAGAGACCGGCCGGCGGGUGCCUCGGGGCUUCUUCUUCCUCGUCCACCCCUCCAGAUGUGGCGGCGCAUGAGGCGGCGGCGGCGGCUCUAAUCCCGCGGUAGCCGUGGUCCCACUUCUCGGGCGGGAUUUGCGGCGCUGAGGCGGCCGGCGCGACGCGAGCUUGGGGUUGUGCUUGUGCCCGCCGAGGGGCGUGGCUACCGGCCACUCAAUCGGGCACCGGAGGAAGCAUAAGGAGGAGGGGAUGCUGCGGUGCGCCGUGAUCUUAUCCCGGCUGCGUGGUUAGGUUUUGGGCGAGGAUGGAGGGGACGAGGGCGGCGGAGUUGGCCGGCGGCGGGGCCGGGGAUGUGCAGAUUAAGGUCGGAGGAAGCAUCUGCUACGAGGAACAUCUUCGUCUUCAAGCUACAGGUGGAAUAUGCCGAGCAAGCACGGGCGUGCAUCCGUUCCGCCUUGGGUAGCCACCCCAGAUUCGUCGUGCCCCUGCACAUUGUGAUCUGAUCGCUCAAGCUGAUCCUGAGGAGAGGUGAAAAACUACCAGCAUGUACAAUGCUCGUCAUGUUUGGCGUACAACCUGUUGCGUGGCAAUGACGGCUUUGCAGGGCGGCGGUGUUGGCGCUGGAGACCACCUUUGGCUCGGCUCCUUGUCGCCGUUUUGCCAUCCGCCCUUGCGCACGUCCCUCCUGGCAAAACUCUAGUCGUCGUGCGGGGAUUGGUUGCCAUCGACGUUGUUGCCUUGGAGCUACCAGCGCGUGAUUUGACCUAUGAAGUUUCAUGCCUGAGUGCUAUUUAUUGGACUCACUCCACUUGAUCCCAAGUGAUGCGAUCAUACAGGACAAACAAUUUCCUUUGAAGGGGAGAGCAUUUCAAAGGAAGCACGGACUGGAGGUGUAAGGGUGGUUCAGGAUUUGGAAAGAGAGUGCAUUAAGGGAGCCAGGAGUAAUUGGGUAGUUCAGGAUUUGAAAAGGGAGCCAGGAUUAGUUUGUGAAUGAACAAGUAGUGUUCCUUAUGUUAUAUUUUAGCUUAAUUGAGAAACAUAGUUCUAGACUAUAGGAUAUUUCUUAUUUAUUUGUACGUUCUGUAUGAAUGUAUGUUAUUAUUCAGUUGUGAACUUUGGUGUAAGUAUCUACUCAGCUUGCCAAUUUUGAUAAUGCGAUGUUUGCAAA